UACAGAGGUGGCAAGCGUUGUUCGGAAUUACUGGGCGUAAAGGGCGCGUAGGCGGCCUCUUUAGUCAGACGUGAAAUCCCCCGGCUUAACCUGGGAACUGCGUCUGAUACUGGGAGGCUUGAGUUCGGGAGAGGGAUGUAGAAUUCCAGGUGUAGCGGUGAAAUGCGUAGAUAUCUGGAGGAAUACCGGUGGCGAAGGCGGCAUCCUGGACCGAAACUGACGCUGAGGCGCGAAAGCGUGGGGAGCAAACAGG
rnacentral:rRNA from 1 species